rnacentral:rRNA from 1 species
UACGUAGGCAGCGAGCGUUGUUCGGAGUUACUGGGCGUAAAGGGUGUGUCGGCGGUUGUUUAAGUUUGGUGUGAAAUCUCCCGGCUCAACUGGGAGGGUGCGCCGAAUACUGAAUGACUUGGAGUGCGGGAGAGGAAAGUGGAAUUCCUGGUGUAGCGGUGAAAUGCGUAGAUAUCAGGAGGAACACCGGUGGUGUAGACGGCUUUCUGGACCGUAACUGACGCUGAGACACGAAAGCGUGGGUAGCAAACAGG